rnacentral:RNase_P_RNA from 1 species
CCAGUUGGCCGGACGACCGCUGCCCCGCAGAGGAAAGUCCGGGCUCCACGGAAAAACGGCGCCGGAUAACGUCCGGCGGGGGCGACCCCAGGGAAAGCGCCACAGAAAGCAAACCGCCGCCGGCCCGCCGGCGGUAAGGGUGAAAGGGUGCGGUAAGAGCGCACCGCGGAUGCGGCGACGCAGACGGCAUGGCAAGCCCCGCCGGGAGCAAAACCAAAUAGGGGCGACGUGCGCGCAAGCGCGGGCUUUUCCGGCCAGAUCGCCCGGGUUGGUUGCUUGAGGCGGCCGGUAACGGUCGUCCCAGAGGAAUGGUCGUCACGUCCUGCGCCGCUUGCGGCGCGGGGCCUUACAGAACCCGGCUUACAGGCUGACUGGCGCU